AUACGGAGGGUGCGAGCGUUAAUCGGAAUUACUGGGCGUAAAGCGUGCGUAGGCGGUUUGUUAAGUCAGAAGUGAAAGCCCUGGGCUCAACCUGGGAACGGCUUUUGAGACUGGCAGACUCGAGUUGAGUAGAGGGGAGUGGAAUUUCCGGUGUAGCGGUGAAAUGCGUAGAGAUCGGAAGGAACACCAGUGGCGAAGGCGACUCCCUGGACUCAAACUGACGCUCAGGUACGAAAGCGUGGGUAGCGAACAGGAUUAGAUACCCUAGUAGUCC
rnacentral:rRNA from 1 species